AGGAAAUUUGUUAGAGAUAGAUUGGAUGGUAAAGGACAAUUUUGUGAUACAAUGAAACAAUUAUGGGAUGGAGAUUUUCAUAAGCAAACAGCAACAGGUUUACGGUUUAAACUAAACAUGAAUUAAGAAAGAGCAAACCAACAAAUACUA